UAAGGAAUAUUGGUCAAUGGACGCAAGUCUGAACCAGCCAUGCCGCGUGAAGGAUGAAGGUCCUCUGGAUUGUAAACUUCUUUUAUCUGGGACGAACACGGGAUUUUUAUCUCAAUUAACGGUACCAGAGGAAUAAGCACCGGCUAACUCCGUGCCAGCAGCCGCGGUAAUACGGAGGGUGCGAGCGCUAUCAGGAUUUACUGGGUUUAAAGGGUGCGUAGGUGGGCUUAUAAGUCAGUGGUGAAAUCUCUGGGCUUAACUCAGAACGGGCAAGGGAUACUGCUGUGCUAGAGUGCGGAAGAGGCAACCGGAAUUCUUGGUGUAGCGGUGAAAUGCGUAGAUAUCAAGAGGAACACCUGAGGCGAGGGCGGGUUGCUGGGCCGACACUGACGCUGAUGCGCGAAAGCCAGGGGAGCAAACG
rnacentral:rRNA from 1 species